rnacentral:tRNA from 14 species
AUGCGCUCGACUUUUAAUCGUGUGGUCGUGGGUUCAAUCCCCACA